rnacentral:rRNA from 1 species
UUAAAGUCGGAUAAUACGAACUACAGUUUAAAAUUCAAAGAUCCUGGCGGUGCUUUAUAAAACCAGGGGAACCUGUCCUGCAACUCGAUAGUCCACGACUACCUAACCUCUUUUUGAAACCCAGCUUGUGUACUGCCGUUGUAAGCAAACCUCUAAAAGUAAAGUAUGCUAUUAUAACCAUUAAUAACUUUUAUACAUCAGGUCAAAGUGCAGCUAAUAAAGAGGAAGCGAUGGGUUACAACCUCAAAAAAGACAUAGAUUAAAAAAUUAAAAAUUUUUAUAAAAGUGGACUUGGUUGUAAUUUAUAAAUAUUUUAAAUAAAUGAAUAUAUACUUAAAGCAUGUACACAUCGCCCG